rnacentral:lncRNA from 1 species
GACACAGCAAUGAGUGCCAAAGUGAACAUGGAGGCUCUGCCCAAAGAACCUGAUCGCGCCCCGUCCUCCUCGACCCCCUCUGAGGCCGUCCUAAUCUGUGGGAGUGAUGGAGUAGCCAGAAAAGCUCGACCCCAGCCCCACACCACCACAGCUCUCCUCCUACCAGCUCCUGCACCCGGCCAUCAGAAGGUGGAGGUGACUCCAGCUGUUGCCGUGGGCGACCCAGGUAAAGGUGUCAGGGCUGGUGAGCUGGCUACGCCCACCCUGACGGCACAGGUGGGUGGGGCUUGUAGCAUUGUCCACGUCUUAGAGUGGAAGGAGGGGAUGGCUAUUCUACCCAGUAGCAACCUCAAGUUCUGUGUGAGUGAUGUAGGUACACUGAGCACGCUGAUCACCCCAGGGACAACCAGCAGCACCACUGAACCAGCAGCAGGGACUUCUGGGCGAUCUGUUGACGCAGAAAGCUCUCCAGCAGACAAGCUAGAGGUGUUGGCUCCCGUUGGCUCUGUGAGAGGUGCAGCUGUUGAGCCAGAGAGGAUGGUGCCUGUCAAACCUGAAGUCCAGAUCGGACCCGGACAACAGAACCACGAUCCCAGGGCUCAGAGGACUUACACGGAGGAGCUACGCAGAGAGCCCAUCACUGACAAGUGG